UACGAAGGGGGCUAGCGUUGCUCGGAAUCACUGGGCGUAAAGGGUGCGUAGGCGGGUCUUUAAGUCAGGGGUGAAAUCCUGGAGCUCAACUCCAGAACUGCCUUUGAUACUGAGGAUCUUGAGUUCGGGAGAGGUGAGUGGAACUGCGAGUGUAGAGGUGAAAUUCGUAGAUAUUCGCAAGAAUACCAGUGGCGAAGGCGGCUCACUGGCCCGAUACUGACGCUGAGGCACGAAAGCGUGGGGAGCAAACAGG
rnacentral:rRNA from 1 species